ACAGCUGCCGAGGACAAGCUUCUUUGCGAGUGUUGGCGAGACAUUGGACAAGACUCAAAGACGGGCGCCGAGCAAAAGCAUUCGACCUUUUGGACUCGUGUGCACCGCGAGUUUCAUGAGCGCAAGAAGUUUCCACCUUACCAAUUUGUGAGCACGCGCUGGUGGGUCUUCAUUUCCAAGCGGUGGAGGGUGAUCCAACAAGAGUGCAACAAGUUUUGCGCCACCCUUGAGAGCGUCAAGGCCCGCCCUGUGAGCGGCAUCGGCGUGCAAGACAUGGCAUUUCAAGCUUUGGAGGCAUUCAAGGUUCAACACAAUGGCAAGUGCUUCAACCUCUCCCAUUGCUAUCGGGUCAUCAAG
rnacentral:rRNA from 1 species